UAUAUAUAUAUAUGUAUCAUUAGUGUGAAUAAAGUAUUCGUUUUUAUUCCCUCAAGUCUGUGAUUACAUGGUAGCAGAGCAGGGAAUAAACCCUAGAAAUUAAAAUUGGGGAUUUGGGAAAUUGCUCUUGGUUUAGCAAUAGGGUGUGCUAGUUUCGGGUCAUCUCUUUAGAGGUUUAGUCUUUAGUCACUGCUUGCACCAAGAGGAGCGCCGCCCAUCGAUCAUCUGAUCUGGAAAGUCCGUCGCUCGAACCCUAGCACAUGAGUCUCACGCGCCCAAACAAGUUUCUGCACAUUUGUUCACGCGUCGGCGCGUGGUUCACUGAACUUUUGUCCGGUCAACUUCGCCAAGCUUGCCUCAUCCUCUACGGUCCAUACUUGUGGUUGGUUUUGUGAAAAUACAAAUGGCUGAAGGGGUUUCUUUGAUACAGUUCGGAACCACAGCCGAACCAUACCCCCCACCCAGCCCCACCCCUGACGAACCAGCCUGGGAAAGGGAACCAGUAAAGGGAAUUGGCUCAGGUCUCAGUCCCCCAUGCCACAGGACCACAACCAGCCCUAUUGAAUAUGGUUAUUUACCUAUGUCUUCUUGAUAAUUCGUAAUGUCAUGAGAUCAAGGUUCAAUCAAACCCAGGUCAUUUGAAUAUAAUCAAGAACAGAAAUUUACAUAUAGUAUAGUUCCCUUCCAGAGGAAUUGUUGUGAGGAAAUGCAGGAAGAGGAAUAGGUGAGCUCAAAAUAUUUCCUUUGUCCAAAAUUCUGGAUCCAUUUCUCCAUUUCUCUGUAUUGUUGAUUUGUUUUAAUCCACCAUUUUUAACCCCUUGUGUAAGUUUCACUGCU